GACGAACGCUGGCGGCGUGCUUAACACAUGCAAGUCGAACGGAAAGGCCUGCUUUCCCUUGUGGAUUGCGGGUACUCGAGUGGCGAACGGGUGAGUAACACGUGAGUGAUCUGCCCCCAACUUGGGUAUAAGCCUGGGAAACUGGGUCUAAUUCCCGAUAGGACUGCAGGGUGGUGCCUGUGGUGGAAAACGAUUUUCUAGUGGUUGGGGAUGAGCUCGCGGCCUAUCAGCUUGUUGGUGGGGUAAUGGCCUACCAAGGCGGCGACGGGUAGCCGGCCUGAGAGGGUGGACGGCCACACUGGGACUGAGAUACGGCCCAGACUCCUACGGGAGGCAGCAGUGGGGAAUAUUGCACAAUGGGCGGAAGCCUGAUGCAGCGACGCCGCGUGGGGGAUGACGGCCUUCGGGUUGUAAACUCCUUUCGAUCGCGAGGAAGCCACCUGGUUGGAAGGGUGGUGACGGUAGUGGUAGAAGAAGCACCGGCUAACUACGUG
rnacentral:rRNA from 1 species